GACGAACGCUGGCGGCGUGCUUAACACAUGCAAGUCGAACGGAAAGGCCCUGCUUUUGUGGGGUGCUCGAGUGGCGAACGGGUGAGUAACAUGUGAGUAACCUGCCCUUGACUUUGGGAUAACUUCAGGAAACUGGGGCUAAUACCGGAUAGGAGCUCCUGCUGCAUGGUGGGGGUUGGAAAGUUUCGGCGGUUGGGGAUGGACUCGCGGCUUAUCAGCUUGUUGGUGGGGUAGUGGCUUACCAAGGCUUUGACGGGUAGCCGGCCUGAGAGGGUGACCGGCCACAUUGGGACUGAGAUACGGCCCAGACUCCUACGGGAGGCAGCAGUGGGGAAUAUUGCACAAUGGGCGGAAGCCUGAUGCAGCAACGCCGCGUGCGGGAUGACGGCCUUCGGGUUGUAAACCGCUUUCGCCUGUGACGAAGCGUGGGUGACGGUAAUGGGUAAAGAAGCACCGGCUAACUACGUG
rnacentral:rRNA from 1 species